GGGCUUAAGAUUGAAAGAAUGUGAACAUAUUAUCAUCUGUAACCUUGAGUUUGAAGGUGGUAGAGGACAUGAUGUUGACGGCAUUCAAAUAAAGCCAAAUUCUAGGCACAUUUGGAUAGAUCGAUGCAGCCUUCGUGAUUAUGAUGAUGGACUUAUUGAUAUCACCAGACAAAGCACCGAUAUCACUGUUUCGAGAUGUUACUUUGCACAGCAUGACAAGACAAUGCUUAUUGGAGCAGACCCCUCUCAUGUUGGUGAUAGAUGCAUCCGAGUAACAAUUCACCAUUGUUUUUUUGAUGGAACACGGCAAAGAC
rnacentral:misc_RNA from 1 species